CUCUCGAGUCUCGACUAUCGACUGCCGAUGGCCGACUGGCUCUCGGUCUCUCGCUCUCGCAUCUUGACUCUUGUGAGUUGUGACUUGUGAGCAAUUGUAGCACAUCUAAGGAUAACCUGAAGAGAACUCAAAGAGUAGCAGCAGUGAUGAUGAAUGGAAGCCAAUCCACAGAGAGCUCAGAUUUUAGUUCAAAUAACAUCACAGAAACAUUAAGAAAAGGAGAAUUUGUGUUUGUAUGGGUUUCCUAGUGAGCAAUGGGAGGUCAAUUUUCCUGCUGAAGAGGUGCCCCCAGAACUCCCAGAACCAGCACUGGGCAUUAACUUUGCUAGAGAUGGGAUGCAAGAAAAGGACUGGUUAUCUUUGGUUGCUGUCCAUAGUGAUGCUUGGUUGCUUUCUGUUGCAUUCUAUUUUGGUGCCAGAUUUGGGUUUGA